rnacentral:rRNA from 1 species
GCCUGCCCAGUGAAACUUUUCAACGGCCGCGGUAUCCUAACCGUGCAAAGGUAGCGCAAUCCCUUGCCCCCUAAUUAGGGGCUAGUAUGAACGGCAAAAUGAGGGCUCAACUGUCUCCUAGGACCAAGUAAUGAAAUUGAAACUCCCGUACAAAUGCUGGAAUACUCUCAUAAGACGAGAAGACCCUGUGGAACUUCAACUAUUAUACUAGCAAACAAUUAGUUUCCCUUUCCUAGUAAAAUUUUCAGUUGGGGCAACUACGGAACAAAACAGAACUUCCACAAACACGACUAAUCAUCGCACCUAAGGCCGCCACGCCACCAAAUCAACCUAUGAUCCGGCAAAGCCGAUUAAUGAACCAAGCUACCCCAGGGAUAACAGCGCCAUCUCCUUCAAGAGUCCUUAUCGUCAAGGAGGUUUACGACCUCGAUGUUGGAUCAGGACCCCCCGGUGGUGUAGCCGCUACCAAAGGUUCGUUUGUUCAACGAAUAAUGUCCU